rnacentral:rRNA from 1 species
GAUGAACGCUAGCGGCAGGCUUAAUACAUGCAAGUCGUGGGGCAGCAUGAGUAGCAAUACUUGAUGGCGACCGGCAAACGGGUGAGGAACACGUACACAACCUUCCUUCAAGCGGGGAAUAGCCCAGAGAAAUUUGGAUUAAUACCCCAUAAUAUAUUUGAUAAGGCAUCUUAUUAAAUAUUAAAGCUUCGGCACUUGAUGAUGGGUGUGCGGCUGAUUAGAUAGUUGGCGGGGUAACGGCCCACCAAGUCUACGAUCAGUAGCUGAUGUGAGAGCAUGAUCAGCCACACGGGCACUGAGACACGGGCCCGACUCCUACGGGAGGCAGCAGUAAGGAAUAUUGGACAAUGGACGAAAGUCUGAUCCAGCCAUGCCGCGUGAAGGAUUAAGGUCCUCUGGAUUGUAAACUUCUUUUAUAUUGGGACGAAAAAAGGGCAUUCUUGUUCACUUGACGGUACCAUAUGAAUAAGCACCGGCUAACUCCGUGCCAG